UUUGAAUUUUAAUUAGAUUGUAGUUAUAUCAUAUUUUGAUAUAUCCUAUAUUUUUGAAUCAUAAACAGCCAUUUCUUAAAUCAUGCUAUAAUUUUUAACUUAAGACAGUGCUUUUAACUCUGCCUCUUUCUUCAACAAUCCUUUUUAUUUUUGCAUUUUCUAUUUUCUAGGAAAUACAGUUUUCAUCAUUUUCAUCAUAAUGGUUUCAUUAUGUCAAAAGUCUAUUGCUUUUCAGAUAUAAUUUAAAGUUUUCUUUCAGUAGAUUCUUCCUGGAUAGAACAACAAAAAAAGCCAGUUUAUAUUUUUGGCAGUGCUUGAUGGUUUAGGAAGAAAUUUUUCUAGAUUUUCCCUAAGUUCAUUAAGUACCUUCCAACUAACAGAGGCCUCCAGGCUUCUGAUAGCUCUUUAGCCCAAGGGAAUAGCAUUUCCUGGAUGAGCUCAUUUAAAACAAACAAACAGCAUUUUAAAUAGUAAAUUUUGUUAAUAAAAAUAACAAGAUGGUUACAAUGAUCGUAAUGAUCACAGUAAUGUGUUUCUUUACGAAUUUAUACUUAUCUCAUGGAGUAUUUUCCUGAGAAAUUUCCAUUGUAGCUAUUUGAGACAUAUAACUUAGUUAUAGCACACGCACUAAUACUAUAAUUUGUUUAAAGCUUCUUUGUAAUUAAAGAAAAAAUUCUAUCUAAUAAAGUAAUUUUUCCUUUUCCCCAGAUGGAUUAUUUAUUUAAUAGUAAUAAAAUUUUUAAAAAAUCACAAUAAUAUUACAAAACUGAAACAAAAUGAUGACUCUCCAAAGAAUGUUUUUAAGCAUAUCUGAUUUUGGAGAAUAUCCUCCAAUACUUCUUUUGUUUAAUCGUUUUAAAAUUUGUAGUCAUUAUGCUCUAAAAAUACAAAAAAAGAAAAUAAAACCACAAUGAAACACUCCCAUCUUUAUCUAUUGCUAUCACCGCUUUAUGUCUGUCUACUAAUUCAUCCAUUCUUCCAUUCAUCACCUACUUGGCUAUCUAUCAAAAUCAAAUCAUUUGCACAUAUCAAAAAAUGAUUCAAGGUCUUUUAAAUGUCAUAAAACCUGAUUAUUAUUUGCAUUUUAUUUCAGUAGUGCUACAUUGGUGAGAAAUGUCACUAGGCCCUCAUAAUUUAAACCCAUUAAAAAAGUAAAAAUGUUUCUGUUUUAAAUCAUAUUAAAAUGAUUAAGUUUUAAAAUAAUCAGCAUUAAAAUAUCUGCAUUAACUAAGUGUGAUUCCAAUUAAAUUAUUAUUGCAUUUACAGUUAGUACCUGAUGUGGAAGCAAAAUUUCAAGUCUAUGUGACACAAAAGUUACUUCAAGCUAAACAAUUGAUUAUUAUGGGGCUUAUUAUAUUUUCCUAGAAGCAGAAAGUCAUCAUGUUGACUGUAUUAUUUUCUUAUUAUGUAUAUUCUUCUGAUCAUUAAACAUAGAUGCUUUGUAAGGAACAGUAUUUUAUGAAUUAAUAUAUGUCACUGGUAAAAGGUGAAAGCUAUUAUCAACUUUCAGUCUAUUUAAUAGUUGAGAACAAUUGUAAAAGUGUAUUAUCGUUUUGAAUUUUGAUCAUGAGCCUGUUGAUUGCUAUUAAAAAAAAAAAAACUAAGCCUCUCUGCCUGCUACAAUUCUUCCAUCGGAAGACAGGGCUGUGAAAAUCUGCAAUAGACUUCUAUGUGACUUGAUGAAUAGCAAGAGAGCUUAGUGGAAAUGUUGAAGUCCUUCAUGAUUAAAAAGCAAACCUUUAAUGUAGUUUUUGUUUACCAUGUCAUAAGUGCAGCGUUGGAAGUUAUUGCCAAAGAGUCAUUGGAACAGGCAUCAGUGAGGCAAUGUCAGCCAGCCGAUGCUUUGAAAAUGAUUCAGUUCCUCUAGCCUUAUGACUAAAAUAAUAUCCAGUGGCUCCAGCCCCAAGCCUGGUUAAUGCAUCUGUCCAGAACACAUAAUUACUCGGUCAUAACAUUCCCCCGGCCACCAGCCAACAAACCAAUCAGCAUUUCUUCCUAACUUACCAGAAUUUUUGCUGUGUCAAACUGUUUGAUCUCUAGGUAGUAAAAAUGCAAAAAAUGGAAGGACACUGCACUGGAAGGUUUUAAUUUAGAAUAGUUUCUCAUGGAAAUUAAAUUUGAAGAGAAACAUGUUUUUGUCGUCAUGACUGAAGUUGAGAUGUUAAUUUGGUGUCCCUUUGCAAACUGCAUCAUUUGUUUUUUCAUCAGAAGCUCACAUUUUUAAUCAUUUUAGUGAGGAAAUAUUUUAACAACAAAAGAACAGCAAAUAUAUCUCCAGUGACUAUUAUAUGAUUUUGUUUCCCAAACAUUAACAAAUAGAGUGACAAAAUGUUCCUUUUUUGGUUAACAGUAAUAUUGUAUGUGCCUAUAUUUAUGUACAUGUGUAUAUGUAGAAUUCUUUAUAUCAUCUUCAAAGAGAAAUUAUGAAAGUAUAUAUGUAAUCAUAGAUGUGUGAGCAUAAUCUAGGUUUUAUUUUUUUACAAGCUCUUUAUAUUUGGAUAACUGUUAAUUCUUAAAAUUAAACUGAGGGGGAGGGAUAAAUUAGGAGAUUGGGAUUGACAUAUACCUACUAAAUAUAAAAUAGAUAACUAAUAAAAACCUGCUGUAAACCUGGGUAGUUCUAACUCAAUACUCUGUAAUGAUCUGUGUGGAGAAAGAUUCUAAAAAAAAAAAGAAUGGAUAUAUGUAUAUGUAUAAAUGAAUCACUUUGUGGUACAUCUCAAAACUAAUACAAUAUUGUAAAUCAACUUUUCUCCAAUAAAAAUUUAAAAAUAAAUACAGUAAAAUUUUAAGAAAACUAUUUUAGAUUGAAUGACAUUAUUUCUCCCUGUUUCCCACAGUCUCACCUAUAAAUGCUUUAAAAUGAAUUUAAAAAAUCAUUUUUUAUGAAGUGAAGAUUAACCGAGAUGUAAAGUUUGAGUUUAGUUAUACGGAAUAAAUAGGUUAAAGUCACCAGGGGCAGUGAGGAAGAACAUUCCACAUAGAGGGGAAAGCACGUAGGCAGAAGCAUAAGAGUGAAAGAAAAUGACACGCCCAGGAAAGUAGGAGAAAUUUGGUCUUUCUGGAGCACAAAGACAAGCGGGAGGGUGAUGGGGGAUGAGGUUGACAUGGUAACCUCAGGUUGUGAAGGACCUUAAUAUGUAAAGUAGAAGCACAGAUCUUAGGACUCCUAAUUUGAAGAAAUGACAUUGGACUACUUCAAUGGGUUAAUUUGUGGGCACAUGAAAAUAUUUUCUCAAUUACUUCUCUCCCUUCAACUUCUUCCUGUAUCAGGCUUAGAUGGCGAUGCGCACAUUGGAUCAUAUUCCUGUCUUCCUGUCUGGUAUGAAUUGAAAGACGCGUAGAACUAUUACACUUUGUUCCCACAAACAGUUGUGAUCGAAUGUCAUAUAAUUCCAGAGGCGAUGGGAGCUUCCUUCCGUGUUGAUACGGUGAACUCCCCGCAGGCGACUCCAGGCAGACAUGGUGCUUGGGCUGCCGCUACCAUUGCAAAUCUUCACGUUCCUAUCCAACUACAUCCUCACAAGCAGAUCUGUUCUUUUUACUGGAAAGGACCUGCUGUGCUCCAUUUGGUCACAGUCCUGACCCAUUUUGGAGGUCCCAUGAACUAGCACCUGCUAUCACUGAUGAACAUAGAUGUAAAAAUCCUUAAUAAAAUUCUAGCAAACAGAGUCCAACAACAUAUUUAAAAGAUCAUACAUCAUGACCAAGUGGGCUUUA